CAACACCCCCAUUAGGAUUAUGAGGAUGAAUCUCGUGGGGCCCGAGGGACGCCUGGAGCAUCGCUGAAAGGCAGGCCUGCGCCGGGCAGGCCACAGGGCUCCGCCCGCCCCGCCCCGGGGACCUUCACAUCCGGCCCCCGGCCCCUCCCCGUCCGGUGCUCACGCCCCGGGCCCUGCUUCCCGCCGCCGUGAAACCAGCCUGCCGAGCGGCUUUCCGCUCCGUGGCCCCAGGGCUGGCCGGGCGGGACGCGCCCGCCUCGGCUCGGCUGGGAGCCAGCCCACCACGGAUGGAAGGAACACCCCGGGACGCUGGGCCGGAGAAACUACUUCCUCCUCGACUUGUGGGCGUCCGGUAUUUUGUGCCAGCGACCAGAAACCUAAUACAGCAAAGUAAGACCAGCUUCCUACACGGGAUCUCCGAAAAUCCCACAGACAGAAACAACCAAAUCUUCAUCCACAGACUAAUGGAUAAACAAAAUAUGGACUCUGGUGCGUGGCCUAAAGGCGAAUCAAAACAACUCUUGACUCAGCAUUGGUCAAGAUCUGGAUUGGAGCCUCAGCACCACAAAGACAAAACACGAAUGUGGAAAUGAGUACAGCGGAGGACAAUUAGUCAGAAAAAGAAAGGAAAUUCUGAAACCUGCUACAACAGCCAUGAAUCUUGAGGAAAUCAUGCCAGGCAAAAUGCACAAGUCACAGAAUACCACACACAUCGGGGCUGGGGAUUUAGCUCAGCGGCAUAAGCGCCUGCCUUGCAAGCAGGCAGUCGUGAGUUCGAUCUCCGGUACCAAUAAAAAGGAAAAAGACAAAAAAAAAAAAAAAAAAGAAAAGAAAACCACACACAUGGCUUAGAUAGCUCAAGCCCAUAGAAGAUAGAACAGACCAGUGCUUGCCUCGUCCCAAGAGAAGAGCUACACUACAUGUCUCAACAGAGAAAGAAUGAUGAGGAAGAUUAUAUUAGGGAGCAAACCUUAAUGAAACUUAGCUGUGUAGCUAUGGAGUUUCCUACCACUCCACUGCUCACAAAACAAAAUUCAAAGUGUGAUCGGCUCACCAGGUUUCAACAAACCAAAGAGCUUCUGCUGACUGGCCACACAUCCUCUCCUUACUCCCAGUAACUGGGUGGCUUUAUGUGAGUCCCACCCAGAAACUACACGAGAAUGAGACUCAUAACGUACAUGAUCUUAGCCAAAAGACCAAGAAGCAAUUAUCAUACUGUUAAGUCAAGCAAUGUAGGCACUGAAACCACAAAUUGACCCGUCCUACAAGAGCUUCCCUGACCUACCAGGCUGGGAAGAAACAAAUAGCCAGAAGUACUAAGAAAGCAUCCUAGGUGGCCUGGCAUUGAGGCACAACAAGCCUUGAAUCCCAGCUACUCCCAAGGCUGUGAUUGGGCAAGUGCCAGGCCAGCCUGGGCACAUCGGCCAGACCCUGCAAGAAAAAAGGCUCACGAGGGAGUGGUGUGUGGUAUGGCGUCCCUUGCUUGGUUCCAUCUUUCUUUUGAUGUGUCUCUCCUCCUUAAAAAAAGACUACCUGGGGUUGAAUGGUGGCUUCAGGUCAACUAAGGUCUGGACUCUAGUGGCCCUGGGAAGAGCAUCUGAAAGGAGUGGCAAUUGCUACCCUGUCCAGCGCACAUCGUGGCCAUCCUCAGGAUUAAAGGGGCUCUGAUUUGCAACCCUUCGGUAGUUUUCAGCCGGGAAGAACAGGCUAAGAACUAAGGCUAAGAACUAAGAAUAUUCACCCAAGGGUAAGGAGGGAGGGAGCCACUUCCCCAGAGCCAUCAUGCUGCCCAGGUCAGGAAGUACUGGAGACACCUUGCAAACCCCCUCCCAACUGCCAGAGACUGAACCAGAACCAGACCCCACCGGGGCGCAUUUGCGAGGCACUGACCUGCUGGCUCCAAGACGCCUUCUCCACUGGGCACCUCAACAGGAAGGAGUCCAACCCAGGUCUCUCAAGACUCAGGGAACCCAGGGCAGCUCCCGGCUGGGUGCUUCCUUGCUUACUUUGCCAGCUGCUUCUGUGGUGAGGCCUGCUGUGAGGCACCUAGGGUCCCAGUGGCCUCCAUGCCGCGUCCUGGUGGCAGGAAGUCAUGAGUGGGUGUGGGGAAUGGAGGUUGACGCCCACAAUCCCACAAUCCCUCGCGUGGGGGGGGCACGCUGUGUGGGCGGGCACAGGCGAGGGGGAUGGCUGGUUAGAAGAGUCAAGAUAGUGGAACCCGCGUGCGAGUGGGGCGCUCCUCUGAAAUCCCAGCACUGAGGCCUGAGGCAGUAGGGCGUGUUCAAAGUCAGCCUGAGCAAGGCAGAGAGUUCCAGGCAAGCUCAGCUAUGUAGAGUUCAAGAUCUCCCUGGAUAACAGAAGGAGACCCUCUCUCAGAAGAAGAGGGCCUAAGGUGGGGGCAGAGGGAGAGAGAAUAUGAGUGAGGAAAAGGGUGCUGUUUAUUUUUUUAUUUUAAAGGGAUUUCAGGAAGACUCGCUGGGGAACGGAAUUACCUAUAUACUGGGACAUGCAGGCUAGACACAAGGUAAAAUUUCUAGCUGUAAGAAUUAUGAAUGUAACCACCCUCAACAGGAACUAUUCAGUUUUCCAAAGAAAAGAUCUUUUCUUUGCUUACCAAGGUGUCGUAAAAUGUUAGCUCGGUAGUACUGCAUAAGCAGCAGCACAUAGUUUCCAAGAGAAAGAUUUCUACUCGUAUAGGAAGUUCCCAAAUUAAAGAUGAUGAAGGGUAUAAAUCCGAUAGUCCAGAAACCAGACCUGGUGCUCUUGUCAUAUGGCCAGUAGUCACAAGCACCAAAUUAGAAAAAAUGUGCUAAUGUUAGUCUUGCUGUAAUUGUAUUUUUCCAUACUGAUGUGAGGGCACAACCCCAAAUAUGGGCAUGGUAUUGCUCAAAUAAAGAGUUCUAAAUGCCUAGAA